UACGUAGGGUGCAAGCGUUGUCCGGAAUUAUUGGGCGUAAAGAGCUCGUAGGCGGUCUGUUGCGUCGGCUGUGAAAACCCGAGGCUCAACCUCGGGCCUGCAGCCGAUACGGGCAGACUAGAGUUCGGCAGGGGAGACUGGAAUUCCUGGUGUAGCGGUGAAAUGCGCAGAUAUCAGGAGGAACACCGAUGGCGAAGGCGGUUCUCUGGGACGGUACUGACGCUGAGACGCGAAAGCGUGGGGAGCGAACAGG
rnacentral:rRNA from 1 species